GAUGAACGCUGGCGGCGUGCCUAAUACAUGCAAGUAGAGCGAACAGACGAGGAGUUUGUUCCUCUGACGUUAUCCGCGCACGUGAGUGAAACACGUGGAUCCUCCCCCUAUACGACUGGGAACUCUUCGGGACGCUGGCGCUUACACCAGAUAAUAUGUUGAUCCAUAUGAUUCACUAGUGAAAUGCGGUUUUACCAUUACUUAUUGGUGGUUCGGCGCCGCAUUAGCUAGUUGGUAGGGUAACGGCUUACCACGGCAACGAUGCGUCGCCGACCUGGGGGGGUGUUCGGCCAAACGGGAACGGGGACACGGCCCAGACUCCUCCGGGAGGCAGCAGUAGGGAAUCUUCCGCAAUGGGCGAAAUCUGGACGGAGCAACGCCGCGUGGUGGAUAAAGUUCUUCGGUCGUAAAGAUUCUGUUAUUGGGGAAGAACAAUUGGGGAAGUAACUAUUCACGUCUUGACGGUACCUAAUCAGAAAGACACGGCUAACUACGUG
rnacentral:rRNA from 1 species